GACGAACGCUGGCGGCGUGCCUAAUACAUGCAAGUAGAACGCUGAAGGAGGAGCUUGCUUCUCUGGAUGAGUUGCGAACGGGUGAGUAACGCGUAGGUAACCUGCCUGGUAGCGGGGGAUAACUAUUGGAAACGAUAGCUAAUACCGCAUAAUAGUAGAUGUUGCAUGACAUUUGCUUAAAAGGUGCAAUUGCAUCACUACCAGAUGGACCUGCGUUGUAUUAGCUAGUUGGUGGGGUAACGGCUCACCAAGGCGACGAUACAUAGCCGACCUGAGAGGGGGAUCGGCCACACUGGGACUGAGACACGGCCCAGACUCCUACGGGAGGCAGCAGUAGGGAAUCUUCGGCAAUGGACGGAAGUCUGACCGAGCAACGCCGCGUGAGUGAAGAAGGUUUUCGGAUCGUAAAGCUCUGUUGUAAGAGAAGAACGAGUGUGAGAGUGGAAAGUUCACACUGUGACGGUAGCUUACCAGAAAGGGACGGCUAACUACGUG
rnacentral:rRNA from 1 species